rnacentral:rRNA from 1 species
UACGGGGGGGGCAAGCGUUGUUCGGAAUUACUGGGCGUAAAGGGCUCGUAGGUGGCCAACUAAGUCGGACGUGAAAUCCCUCGGCUUAACCGGGGAACUGCGUCCGAUACUGGUUGGCUUGAGUUUGGGAGAGGGAUGCGGAAUUCCAGGUGUAGCGGUGAAAUGCGUAGAUAUGUGGAGGAACACCGAUGGCGAAGGCAGCCUUCUGGGCCAACACUGACGCUCAUGCACGAAAGCGUGGGGAGCAAACAGG